CAAUAGCGUAUAUUAAAGUUGUUGCAGUUAAAAAGCUCGUAGUUGAAUUUUUGCUUGCCGCCGAUGUCGGAACUUCCGUACGUUCGGCGGCGUGCAUCCUUGGGUGGAACCUGUGUGGCAUUAGGUUGUCGUGCAGGGGAUGCUCAUCGCUUACUGUGAAAAAAUUAGAGUGUUCAAAGCAGGCUUACGCCGUUGAAUAUAUUAGCAUGGAAUAAUAAGAUAGGACCUUGGUACUAUUUUGUUGGUUUGCGCACCGAGGUAAUGAUUAACAGGGACAGUUGGGGGUAUUCGUAUUCCAUUGUCAGAGGUGAAAUUCUUGGAUUUCUGGAAGACGAACUACUGCGAAAGCAUUUACCAAGGAUGUUUUCAUUAA
rnacentral:rRNA from 1 species